UACGUAGGGUGCGAGCGUUAAUCGGAAUUACUGGGCGUAAAGCGUGCGCAGGCGGUGAGCUGUGUCCGAUGUGAAAGCCCCGGGCUUAACCUGGGAAUGGCAUUGGAAACUGGCUCGCUGGAGUGUGGCAGAGGGGGGUGGAAUUCCGCGUGUAGCAGUGAAAUGCGUAGAGGUGCGGAGGAACACCGAUGGCGAAGGCAGCCCCCUGGGCUAACACUGACGCUCAGGCACGAAAGCGUGGGGAGCAAACAGG
rnacentral:rRNA from 1 species